rnacentral:tRNA from 1 species
GCCACAGUAGCUCAGCGGCAGAGCGCUUGCCUCGUAAGCAAGAGGUCGAGGGUUCAAAUCCCUCCUGUGGCU